ensembl:miRNA Gm25249 predicted gene, 25249
GUGACCUGUGUGUAUUUAUUUACUUAUUUGUGUGUGUGAUUGUGCAUGCACAUACACACAUACACACAGAUGCGUGCA